AGUGGGGAAUCUUGCACAAUGGGGGAAACCCUGAUGCAGCGACGCCGCGUGAACGAUGAAGCCCUUCGGGGUGUAAAGUUCUUUCGGCAGGAACGAUAAUGACGGUACCUGAAGAAGAAGCUGCGGCUAACUACGUGCCAGCAGCCGCGGUAAUACGUAGGCAGCAAACGUUGUUCGGAGUUACUGGGCGUAAAGAGUACGUAGGCGGUUUGCCAAGUUUGGUGUGAAAUCUCCUGGCUUAACUGGGAGGGUGCGCCGAAUACUGGCGGGCUUGAGUAUUGGAGAGGAAAGCGGAAUUCCUGGUGUAGCGGUGAAAUGCGUAGAUAUCAGGAGGAACACCGGUGGUGUAGACGGCUUUCUGGACAAUCACUGACGCUGAGGUACGAAAGCGUGGGUAGCAAA
rnacentral:rRNA from 1 species